rnacentral:rRNA from 1 species
UACGGGGGGAGCAAGCGUUGUUCGGAAUUACUGGGCGUAAAGCGUGUGUAGGCGGCUACAUAAGUCGGAUGUGAAAGCCCCGGGCUCAACCCGGGAAGUGCACUCGAUACUGCGUAGCUUGAGUCUCGGAGAGGUUGGUGGAAUUCUCGGUGUAGAGGUGAAAUUCGUAGAUAUCGAGAGGAACACCGGUGGCGAAGGCGGCCAACUGGACGAAGACUGACGCUGAGACACGAAAGCGUGGGGAGCAAACAGG